rnacentral:rRNA from 1 species
CCUACGGGGGGCAGCAGUGAGGAAUAUUGGUCAAUGGGCUUAAGCCUGAACCAGCCAAGUCGCGUGAGGGAAGACUGCCCUAUGGGUUGUAAACCUCUUUUGUCAGGGAGCAAUUGGCGCUACGUGUAGCGUUAUCGAGAGUACCUGACGAAAAAGCAUCGGCUAACUCCGUGCCAGCAGCCGCGGUAAUACGGAGGAUGCGAGCGUUAUCCGGAUUCAGUGGGUUUAAAGGGUGCGUAGGCGGAAUGACAAGUCAGCGGUAAAAUCGCGGGGCUCAACCUCGCGCCGCCGUUGAAACUGGCGUUCUUGAGUGGGCGAGAAGUAGGCGGAAUGCGUGGUGUAGCGGUGAAAUGCAUAGAUAUCACGCAGAACUCCGAUUGCGAAGGCAGCAUACCGGCGCUCAACUGACGCUGAGGCACGAAAGCGUGGGGAUCGAACAGGAUUAGAUACCCGAGUAGUC